GACGAACGCUGGCGGCGUGCUUAACACAUGCAAGUCGAACGAAGUGGCGAACGGGUGAGUAACGCGUAAUCAACCUGCCCUUCAGAGGGGGACAACAGUUGGAAACGACUGCUCAUACCGCAUACUGAAGGCGGGGAUUGCGUCUGAUUAGCGAGUUGGAGGGGGUACGGCCCACCAAGGCGAUGAUCAGUAGCCGGGCUGAUAGGAUGAACGGGCACAUUGGGACUGAGACACGGCCCAGACUCCGACGGGAGGCAGCAGGUGGGAAUCUUCCGCAAGGGACGAAAGUCUUACGGAGCAACGCCGCGUGAGUGAUGACGGCCUUCGGGUUGUAAAGGUCUGUUAAUCGGGACGCGGUACCGGAAUAGAAAGCCACGGCUAACUACGUGCCAGCAGCCGCGGUAAUAC
rnacentral:rRNA from 1 species